GUAAUUUUCUGGUUUUCUUCUUAAUGAAGAUGCAAAUAGGCACAAAUGUUUAGUAGAGAACAUGCCAAACAAAAAUAUAUACAGUACCCAGUGAAGAGGUUUUCAUCAGCACAUGAUUCCUGAAAAAUGUUUAACAUGCUCCAGUAGGUCUGAAAAUCAGAUUUGAAAUUAUUAAAGGAAAUGUUUCAAUGAUGAGUGAUUAUAUAAGUAGAUUAAAUGAAUGACCAAAAAUUAAAUGACAACCAGGAUUGUUGAGCUUGAUGGUGAGGCUUAGAUGUUUUACGUGCAUGUUUUAAUAGGAAAGCCUUGUACUUCAUAAAUGUAAUCAUGAGUCAAUGUAGUCGGUGUAGUCAUAUGAAGCGCCCAAAAUACAGGUCCUCAUUAUGGCAGCAGCAAGUGUGAAAAAUAGCAAGAGAAGAAUGACUGUCUCGUCUAUUUUUCAGUUGCCGAUGCCAUAAAAAUAAUCAUUUUUUGGUCAUUUAUUUAAUCUACUUAUAUAAUAUUCUUCAGUACCUCUGUGUUCUUUGACCAGUCUGGCUUACUGUCCAAAGCUUACAGUCCACACCAAGAUAUUCAGUAUAAUUCGGAACCCUCUCCACAUAUAUAAACAGGGAUUCGAGUAUGCUUCCCUGUCCUAAAAUGCAUCACAAGCUAUUUCGUCUUGCUGAUGUUGACUUGUACAUUGUUCUACUCACACCACUCCAUGUAGUUGCCCACUACACUCCUCUACUCAUCUUUCUACCAUGCCCUGAUGACCCUGCGUUAUUCAUAACAGUGUCAGACAUACAUCUCUGAAGUCUGACUGUCCAGUGAGAGAGUGAGCGAUCCAGGACACUAGAGGGGCAUCUGUACACAUCUCCAUCAGCUUGUGUGUCAGCAAGGUCGGUCUAAUAGUUUUGAAUGCACUGGAGAAGUUGAGGAACAUUAUUCUAACAGAGCUAUCAGGUUCAGCCAAGUGAGUAUAGGGUUGAUGAAGUAUGUAGAUGAUGGCAUCGAUCACUGUUAUCUUUGUCUGGUAAGCAAACUGCAAGGGGUCUACUGAUGGUAUCAUCAGGGGUUGUUGUUUUGACAGAACCAGCAUCUCCAGGGUCUUAACGAUGUAACCGUUCUGGACCAGUGUCUUCAUUACAUCCUCCUUUUUCUACAAUUCCAGCAGUUUCCUGUACUCCAAGACCUUGGUUUAAAUGUCUGAAUUAUGACACAGCAGUAUUAUACAGAUAUCUGGGGAAACCCCUGAAUGAUUCAGGAAGGCAAGAAGAAGACUGAUGAGAUAAAGAAGGCAGCUGAGAAGAAGAGCGCGUGUCUGGUCUAGCUGUCUGGAAAGCCGCGCCUUUUUGCGGGAAAUAAAUGUAACUCUCUAGCCAUCAGAAAUUCCCCACAUCAUGAUACAAGUCAUGGUCAGGGGUUGCGGUGGAUCCGAAGCCUAUCCUGGGACGCAGAGAACACAUUACAGAACCCCGUAUGUUGUUAUUCAGUCACAUAUAAAAUUAAAUCAGCAUAAUUAGUGUGAUGCUGCUUCGGAAAACCACAAUAAACACAAGAGUCACUACCACCAGUACAUCCAUCGUGUACGUGCUUCUGUUUGUUGGGAAACUCCAAUUCCAAUAGAG
ensembl:lncRNA